CCUUGACCUUUGACCUCAGCUAUGAGGAGCGAGCCCGAUACCUGGAGACCAUCGUGCAGCACCACCAGGAGCCAACCACCUUCGAAGAUUACGCAGCUCGAGUGUACAGCCCGGCUCCCUGCACUCACCUGCCCUCUGACUCAGAUCGUUUUGUCUCACUUGCCUAUAGCUAAAAGGCUCCUGCCUCGAGAUUCUUCGGGGAGAAAGUCCGGCUCUUGGGGAGGCCGGGAGCGACUCGGCGUCCCCCAUGUCGCCUCGGACUAGCAAGAGCCGCAUGUCCAUGAAGCUGCGACGCUCCUCCGGAUCGGCCAAUAAGACUUAAAGCCCUCACUGUAACUUUAUUUUGAAAAUGGCUGUGUAUAUCCUUGCAGUUGCUCCAGCAUGCUGACCUUUGCCACAGUAGAAACAAGUGCAGUAUUAGUUUAUAAUAAUCUGUGCAAUUUUAGAAAAGGGUUCAAGCAUGUUCACAGAGGAAUAAAAGCAUAGGUUGCUAUCUGUAUAUUUGUACUAUAGUUAGUCCAUGUGUGCGCAGACAGAACCACGAGUUUUGAUAUAUAAAAAAAAAAAAAAGAUCAGAACGUGUGCAUCUGUAGUGUUGCAUGGAGGAAGCAAGAUAAAAGUAUAUUUUUGUUCUCAGCACAGCUUUAGGCUUGAGUCGGUUUCUAUUGGUAUGAAUUGUAUAUAGAAACUCAUUCAUUUGCUUACAAUGAAAGAAAGAUGUUUUGUUGUGGAUGCUUUAAAGCCAAAAGGUGAAGAGAAUCAGUGUUACAUAGUUGAAUUAUUCGUCAAAAUAGAACACAAGAGGCAGCACUUCCAUUUAGUUUUGUUUUGCUUAUGCUGUAAAAUGUGGACAAGCACUGAUGAUUUUUUUCUUGAAAUGUGUUUGGACCCGAACAAGAACAAUGCUGUAUUUUAUUUGUCACUUUGUCAUCUGAUGCAAUGGAACCACAGCUAUUAUUUUUGUUCCUAUAUUCUGUAUAUCUAUAUAUGUAUGAGUAUAGAUAUAUAUAGUAGCUAUAUGAACAUCUAAUGGGAUGUGUACAGUGGGUGUAUAUACUGAGAGUAGCUGCCAAAGACCUCCGACCGGGUAUCUGCUUAAAAUGGAUAGACACUACAAGAUUUCAUUUAUUUUUUACAUUUGCAAGGCAAUUUAAUUUCAGUCCAAGGACUCUUCUUUACUUCAAUGUUGCCACAUUGGGGAAGUUUUAGGCCAUAAUUGUCCUCGUUUUUCAUUGAGUAUAUAAUGUACGGAAGAGGAUUAGUGCCACAUGUGAAAACAUUUUUUGAGAUCGGACCUAAAGAGAUUUAUUUUCUUUUGUUCUGACUUUAAAAUAAAAAUAUUGAGAUUCAAUUCAGAAUUCUGAGAUCAAAUUCAGAAACAAAAUCUGCAUUCUGAGAAAAUGUAUUGAAUUCUAUGAAAAAAAGUUCUGAGAUUAAAAUCAGAAUUCUUAGAGUACAUUUAGAAUUUCUGGGAAAAUGUCAGAAUUCUGAGAUUAAUUUAAGACUUCUUAAAAAAUCUGAAAACCUUUCCCUCAUGUGGCUCUAAUCCUCUUCUGUGCUUUGUGGCAGGUUUUGUUAUUGAAAAGAUAACCUCAACACCUUAGUGGUUUAAAGGUGGAAACAGUGUGUAUAAAGGAGAGAUAGUGUACAGCCAAAGGGGGGGAAGCAAAGAUACUUAUUUAGAUAUGAAUCCUUACGUUAUUUUUCUUUUUAUAACUCCACUCUUAUAUUGAGACUCAUCCCCCUGCUCCAUUCUUGACGAAGGGGACCCAAAUGUAAUCACAAUCUAUAACAAGUAACACUAUCACUUAUGUUUUUAACAUCCUUAUUUCAGCACUCCGUCAGUUAGCUCUACUAAAAAGGGAAUUGUCUAACAUUGUUUAAGGUUUUUCUUUAGCUGCUGUUCCUCCAUUUAUUUUACAUGAUGGCUUCUUCUGUAUUUAAACUCAAGUUUAUUUGAUGUUACUGUUUUUAUUUCAGCCCUAGAUUCUCCGUAGAAAUGAAAGGGAUUGUUACACUUUUUGCACCUCUGUGUGUGGUGAAUAUAACUUUAUUCGUGAAUAUUUGAAUUCUGCUGAACUCUGAGUUGGCCCUUUAAAUUAUUGCUGUUACAAUAAUUAUUAUUAUUGCUGAGGUUGGAGCACCAUUGAUUGGUGGUCACUCUGAUCUGUUCAUGCUGUACCUCUCACUCCAUCCUGAUUGGAAACGCCGAGUCUCACACUCCCUUUGGAUUAAACAUACCUGUGCUUGAUUAUGAGCUAUGGUGCUGCUUUCAAAAGCCCAUGGAGAAGAUGGGACAUUUCCGAUUUAGUUUUACAGAUUGUAAAUAAUACGGAGGAUUAUAGUGUUUCAUAAUGACCUCGAAAUGAUUUGCUAAAACGUAACUAAACGUAAUUAGCAGCAACCAAAAUGUAUUCAAACAAAUGAUUAACCUUUCAUCAUUACAAACUAUUCAUAGAAACUUUCCUGCUGUUUAUCUGGAGCAUUUUGACUCUGAAAGUCUACAGAUAAAGGAUUAAGGCCACAUGUGGAAAUGUAUUUCUGAGAAGAAUUGAAGAUUAAAAAACAAAACACAUUUGUACUUUUUGGAAUUGUGAAUAAUCUCAAUAUUAAAAAAUGUUUCAAUGCGACCCUAAACCAAACUUUGCUUGUCUAUAAAUAAGGGGUAAAACAUUCAGAUUACAUUAUUUUCCUUUAUAUAUAACAUUCGGAAAGCUCUGUGGCCUGUUGUCCAGAGUGCAUGUAACUACUGACUGUACAUACUGCAUGACACCAGCUCAGCACUUUCUGCAUGUGUUGAUCAUGUAACAGCUGUAUUACGCUCAAACACACACACACACACACUCCAUGUCACACCUGUACUAUGUAAACCUGUAACGUCUCUUUUGGACACAGACAGAGAACGUGGAUGUGCGAUGAUGGGAUUUGACAAUAAAUGAUUCGUACCACUUGC